AACGAACGCUGGCGGCAGGCCUAACACAUGCAAGUCGAACGCUGUAGCAAUACAGAGUGGCAGACGGGUGAGCAACACGUGGGAACGUGCCUUUCGGUUCGGAAUAACCCAGGGAAACUUGGACUAAAACCGGAUACGUGCGAGAGCAGAAAGAUUUAUCGCCGAAAGAUCGGCCCGCGUCCGAUUAGCUAGUUGGUGAGGUAACGGCCCACCAAGGCGACGAUCAGUAGCUGGUCUGAGAGGAUGAUCAGCCUCACUGGGACGUGAGACACGGCCCAGACUCCUACGGGAGGGCAGCAGUGGGGAAUAAUUGGACAGUGGGGCGGCAAGCCUGAUCCAGCCAUGCCGCGUGGGUGAUGAAGGCCCUAGGGUUGUAAA
rnacentral:rRNA from 1 species